CCUACGGGUGGCAGCAGUGAGGAAUAUUGGUCAAUGGGCGCGAGCCUGAACCAGCCAAGUAGCGUGAAGGAUGACUGCCCUACGGGUUGUACACUUCUUUUAUAAGGGAAUAAAGUGCGGGACGUGUCCCGUUUUGUAUGUACCUUAUGAAUAAGGAUCGGCUAACUCCGUGCCAGCAGCCGCGGUAAUACGGAGGAUCCGAGCGUUAUCCGGAUUUAUUGGGUUUAAGGGGUGCGUAGGCGGCCUUUUAAGUCAGCGGUGAAAGUCUGUGGCUCAACCAUAGAAUUGCCGUUGAAACUGGGAGGCUUGAGUAUGUUUGAGGCAGGCGGAAUGCGUGGUGUAGCGGUGAAAUGCUUAGAUAUCACGCAGAACCCCGAUUGCGAAGGCAGCCUGCCAAGCCAUGACUGACGCUGAUGCACGAAAGCGUGGGGAUCAAACAGGAUUAGAUACCCCAGUAGUC
rnacentral:rRNA from 1 species